rnacentral:rRNA from 1 species
CAGCAGCCGCGGUAAUACGUAGGCAGCGAGCGUUGUUCGGAAUUACUGGGCGUAAAGAGUGUGUAGGCGGUGCUCUAAGUUCGGUGUGAAAUCCCCUGGCUCAACUGGGAGGGUGCGCCGGAAACUGGAGUGCUUGAGCGUGGGAGAGGAAAGCGGAAUUCCUGGUGUAGCGGUGAAAUGCGUAGAUAUCAGGAGGAACACCUGUGGUGUAGACGGCUUUCUGGACCAUAGCUGACGCUGAGACACGAAAGCGUGGGUAGCAAACAGGAUUAGAUACCCUGGUAGUCCACGCCCUAAACGAUGCAUACUUGGUGUCGGCCAUUCAGUUGGUCGGUGCCGGAGCUAACGCGUUAAGUAUGCCGCCUGGGGGAGUACGGUUGCAAGGGCUGAAACUCAAA